CCAUAAUUUGGAUGAAUAUUCAACAUCAAACUGUCUAUAUGCUAAGUUUUGAUCGUGGCAUUUUAAAAACAAUGUU